UACGUAGGGGGCAAGCGUUGUCCGGAUUUAUUGGGCGUAAAGAGCGUGUAGGCGGCCAGAUAGGUCCGUUGUGAAAACUGGAGGCUUAACCUCCAGCGGUCGAUGGAAACCAUUUGGCUAGAGUCCGGAAGAGGAGAGUGGAAUUCCAGGUGUAGCGGUGAAAUGCGUAGAUAUCUGGAGGAACACCGGUGGCGAAGGCGGCAUCCUGGACCGAGAUUGACGCUGAUGCGCGAAAGCCAGGGGAGCAAACGGG
rnacentral:rRNA from 1 species